rnacentral:snRNA from 1 species
AUACUUAACUGGCAGGGGAGAAACCAAGAUCACCAAGGCAGUUUUCCUAGGGCGAGGCUUAUCCUUUGCAUUCCGGAUAUGCUGACCCCUGCCAUUUCCCCAAAUGUGGGAAGCUCUACUGCAUAAUUUGUGGUAGUGGGGGACUGUGUUCGCGCUCUCCCCUG